rnacentral:rRNA from 1 species
AUUGAACGCUGGCGGCAUGCCUUACACAUGCAAGUCGAACGGUAACAGGUCUUCGGAUGCUGACGAGUGGCGAACGGGUGAGUAAUACAUCGGAACGUGCCUAGUAGUGGGGGAUAACUACUCGAAAGAGUGGCUAAUACCGCAUGAGAUCUACGGAUGAAAGCAGGGGAUCGCAAGACCUUGUGCUACUAGAGCGGCCGAUGGCAGAUUAGGUAGUUGGUGGGAUAAAAGCUUACCAAGCCGACGAUCUGUAGCUGGUCUGAGAGGACGAUCAGCCACACUGGGACUGAGACACGGCCCAGGCUCCUACGGGAGGAAGCAGUGGGGAAUUUUGGACAAUGGGCGAAAGCCUGAUCCAGCAAUGCCGCGUGCAGGAUGAAGGCCUUCGGGUUGUAAACUGCUUUUGUACGGAACGAAAAGCCCCGGGUUAAUACCCUGGGGUCAUGACGGUACCGUAAGAAUAAGCACCGGCUAACUACGUGCCAGCAGCCGCCGCAA